rnacentral:tRNA from 1 species
GCCGCAGUAGCUCAGUUGACAGAGUGCGUCAUUGGUAAUGACGAGGUCACGGGUUUGAAUCCCGUCUGUGGCU